rnacentral:lncRNA from 1 species
UGGGUGUAGUGGAACACACAAGUUAUCCUAGUGACUCAGGAGUCUAUCACAGGAAGAUCAAAGUUUAAGGCCUACCUCAGCAACUUAGUGAGUCCCUGUGUCAAAAUAAAGAUGGAUGGUGGUGAUGGGGAUGUAGCUCAACGAUAAAGUGCCCCUCUCUUCGCUUUUGGUUUUUAUCUUAAAACAUUUUCAGUUUGUUCAAAGGAGUUCAAAAUCAGAUAAAAUAUAAAGGCUGCUUUGUAAAUUACAAUAGCCAAAUUAUGGAACCAGCACAGGUGCCCAUCAAUGGAAGAAUGGAUAAAAAUGUAUACUAUAUAUACACAAUAGAAUUCUAUUCAACCAUACAGAAAAAUGAAAUUAUGAUAUUUGUUGGCAAAGGAAUGGAACUGGAGAACAUGAGGCUAAACAAAUAAGCCAGACUCAUGAAGUCAAGUGUUGGAUAUUUUCUUUUAUGAUGAGCUAGAGAGAGGGAAAAAGGAAUUAGAAAAGAGGGAUAUUAUGAAAAUAGAAGUGAGACCAAUAGAUGAAGGUUCUUAAGAGGGAGGGAGAAGGAGAGAGUAUGGGGAAAUACUGGUGAACAAAAUCUACAAAAUUUUGCUUUGUCUGUAUAAAUGUACCACAGUAAGGGCUGGAGUUGUGGCUCAGUGGUAGAGCACUUGCCUAGCACGUGGAAGGCAUUGGGUUCCAGCCUCAGUACCACAUAAAAGUAAAGAAAUAAAAUAAGUAUUUUUAAAAGGUAUCAUAGUAAAUCCUGCAUGUAUACAUGAAAUUGGUAUAUUAUAUAUGCAUAUAUAAUGCGUAAGUAUAUUUAUAAUGUAUUAAUUUAAAUAAUAAUGAUAGAAGGAACAUCAAUAGGAAGAGCCAGCAGAUCAGGGGUACUUGGGAAUGAGAUUGAUCAAUUUAUGAAAGUAUGAAUGUGGCAUAAUGAAUCCCACUAUUAUACAUAAUUAUAAUGCAGCAAUAAAUAAUUUUAAAGAAACAAAGGCCACCAUAAAAUCAUACUUUACAACUGGAAGGUCCUCACAUAUCUCUGUAAAGUCAAAUGGCAUAAAUUGUUGAGAACCCUUUAAAAAUCUUCAUAUAUGUCAGUUUAAAAUGAAUUUAUUUUAAUUUGAAAAUAAAAGAAAUUCAAUAACCUUAAAAAUAUUACAGAAUUAGGGGCUGGGGUAUUGCUUAGAGGUACAGUGCUCACCUAGCAUGUGUGAGACACUGGGUUCAAUCCUCAGCACCACAUAAACAUAAAAUACAAUAUUGUGUCCACCUAUAAUUAAAAAAAUAAAUUAUUAAUAAAAAAUUGACUUUUUUUAAAAUUAUAGAAUUAGGUAACAGUGGCAGACAACUAUGUGGUUGUUGGCUUUGCUAAUGCUGUUCAAUACUUGGUCUUUGGCAGAUGAGUGGGGAGAAUAUUAAAAUUUGGAUUGUUACUUAGUUAAUGUUGAAUAAAAUAGGAGCUGUAAAAUAACAAGUGAUGAGUGACUGUGCUACUGUUUCUGAGCUUUAAACCUGAUUCACCAGGAAGUGACUCUAGCCUUAAAAGUGGCAUUUCUAAACUUGGAGUUGAAUGUAGGAAAGUUCUGAACUCAGAUUGAAUCACCUAUCUCCAAACACUGUUUCUAAUUGUGGAAAGUGCAUGGGUUGAUUACAAUUGAAAAAAGUUCAAAUGCUGUAUUUUUGAGCACCAAGUUUAAGAACCAAACAUGAGGAGAAUGAUGGAUGGAGUGGCAAGCUGAGUCCAGGGUAUGUGGACAGUUGUGCUCAACUAGUGCUUAUGCUCUCCCUCAGUCUCUUCUCUCCCUUCUUCCUUCCCACAUUUAAAUUUCUCACUGCAGGUGUUUCAAAAAUUUUAGAUGUUAUUUUUAACCAUGAUUUCUUGUAUCAUAUCCUAUUUUAAAUUUUUAUUUUUCUGGUUUAAAAAAUGGAGUGUUUCACUGAUCAUUAAGACCUUGAAAUCUUGAAAAGUUUAUAAUAAUCUUGUUAAAGAGUUCCUUGAAUUUCAAGAGCUCAAAGAGACUUUAGAAACCACUUGUUUAGUUGUAUCAUGUACUUUGAAAUACAUCAUCACUUUU